UACAGAGGUCUCAAGCGUUGUUCGGAUUCAUUGGGCGUAAAGGGUGCGUAGGUGGCGGGGUAAGUCAGGUGUGAAAUUUCGGAGCUCAACUCCGAAACUGCACUUGAUACUGCUUUGCUUGAGUACUGGAGAGGAGAUUGGAAUUUACGGUGUAGCAGUGAAAUGCGUAGAUAUCGUAAGGAAGACCAGUGGCGAAGGCGAAUCUCUGGACAGUUACUGACACUGAGGCACGAAGGCCAGGGGAGCAAACGGG
rnacentral:rRNA from 1 species